UACGUAGGGUGCAAGCGUUGUCCGGAAUUAUUGGGCGUAAAGAGCUCGUAGGCGGUUUGUCGCGUCUGCUGUGAAAAACUCAGGGCUUAACCCUGAGCCUGCAGUGGGGUACGGGCAGACUAGAGUGUGGUAGGGGGAGAUCGGAAUUCCUGGUGUAGCGGUGGAAUGCGCAGAUAUCAGGAGGAACACCGGUGGCGAAGGCGGAUCUCUGGGCCAUAACUGACGCUGGAGGAGCGAAAAGCAUGGGGGAGCGAACAGGA
rnacentral:rRNA from 1 species